UGGGGAAUAUUGGGCAAUGGAGGGAACUCUGACCCAGCCAUGCCGCGUGCAGGAUGAAGGCGUUAUGCGUUGUAAACUGCUUUUAUAUAGGAAGAAAUAGUCCUUGCGAGGAAAGUUGACGGUACUAUAUGAAUAAGCACCGGCUAACUCCGUGCCAGCAGCCGCGGUAAUACGGAGGGUGCAAGCGUUGUCCGGAUUUAUUGGGUUUAAAGGGUGCGUAGGCGGUUUAUUAAGUCAGUGGUGAAAGACGGUCGCUCAACGAUUGCAGUGCCAUUGAUACUGGUAGACUUGAGUAUGAUUGAGGUAGCUGGAAUGGAUAGUGUAGCGGUGAAAUGCAUAGAUAUUAUCCAGAACACCAAUUGCGUAGGCAAGUUACUAAGUCAUAACUGACGCUGAGGCACGAAAGUGUGGGUAUCAAACAGGAUUAGAUACCCAGUAGUCCCUGAGCGGGCUGGCAAGGCGCAU
rnacentral:rRNA from 1 species